AAGCUGAUCCAGCCAUGCCGCGUGUGUGAAGAAGGCCUUUUGGUUGUAAAGCACUUUAAGCGAGGAGGAGGCUACUUGGAUUAAUACUCUAGGAUAGUGGACGUUACUCGCAGAAUAAGCACCGGCUAACUCUGUGCCAGCAGCCGCGGUAAUACAGAGGGUGCGAGCGUUAAUYGGAUUUACUGGGCGUAAAGCGUGCGUAGGCGGCUUUUUAAGUYGGAUGUGAAAUCCCUGAGCUUAACUUAGGAAUUGCAUUCGAUACUGGGAAGCUAGAGUAUGGGAGAGGAUGGUAGAAUUCCAGGUGUAGCGGUGAAAUGCGUAGAGAUYUGGAGGAAUACCGAUGGCGAAGGCAGCCAUYUGGCCUAAUACUGACGCUGAGGUACGAAAGCAUGGGGAGCAAACAGGAUUAGAUACCCUGGUAGUCCAUGCCGUAAACGAUGUYUACUAGCCGUUGGGGCCUUUGAGGCUUUAGUGGCGCAGCUWACGCGAUAAGUAGACCGCCUGGGGAGUACGGUYGCAAGACUAAAACUCAAAUGAAUUGACGGGGGCCCGCACAAGCGGUGGAGCAUGUGGUUUAAUUYGAUGCAACGCGAAGAACCUUACCUGGUCUUGACAUAGUAAGAACUUUCCAGAGAUGGAUUGGUGCCUUYGGGAACUUACAUACAGGUGCUGCAUGGCUGUYGUCAGCUCGUGUCGUGAGAUGUUGGGUUAAGUCCCGCAACGAGCGCAACCCUUUUCCUUAUUUKCCAGCGGGUUAAGCCGGGAACUUUAAGGAUACUGCCAGUGACAAACUGGAGGAAGGCGGGGACGACGUCAAGUCAUCAUGGCCCUUACGACCAGGGCUACACACGUGCUACAAUGGUCGGUACAAAGGGUUGCUACCYAGCGAUAGGAUGCUAAUCUCAAAAAGCCGAUYGUAGUCCGGAUUGGAGUCUGCAACUGACUCCAUGAAGUCGGAAUCGCUAGUAAUCGCGGAUCAGAAKCCGCGUUGCGCCGUUGCCCC
rnacentral:rRNA from 1 species